CGGGGAGUGGCGUAGUUUGGUAGCGCGUCUGGUUUGGGACCAGAAGGUCGGCAGUUCGAAUCUGCCCUCCCCGACCA
rnacentral:tRNA from 1 species